rnacentral:rRNA from 1 species
GGUAAGGUGAUAUGAACCGUUAUAACCGGCGAUACCCGAAUGGGGAAACCCAGUGUGACUCGUCACACUAUCAUUAACUGAAUCCAUAGGUUAAUGAGGCGAACCGGGGGAACUGAAACAUCUAAGUACCCCGAGGAAAAGAAAUCAACCGAGAUUCCCCCAGUAGCGGCGAGCGAACGGGGAGGAGCCCAGAGCCUGAAUCAGCAUGUGUGUUAGUGGAAGCGUCUGGAAAGGCGCGCGAUACAGGGUGACAGCCCCGUACACAAAAGCGCAUGUGCUGUGAGCUCGAUGAGUAGGGCGGGACACGUGGUAUCCUGUCUGAAUAUGGGGGGACCAUCCUCCAAGGCUAAAUACUCCUGACUGACCGAUAGUGAACCAGUACCGUGAGGGAAAGGCGAAAAGAACCCCGGCGAGGGGAGUGAAAAAGAACCUGAAACCGUGUACGUACAAGCAGUGGGAGCCCCACCACCAAAGCAUUUGCUGUACCGCGUUGACGGAGCGAAGCGACGUCAAACCGAUAAAACAGCAGUGUAAAGUGAGCCGCAGGGCGCUUUGCGCGACAGCGCAAAGGCAGGCGGUUUCGCGUAGCGAAAGCGAAUGCUUUGGGGUGG